rnacentral:rRNA from 1 species
CGGCACGGGUGCGUAACGCGUAUGCAACCUACCAUCAACAGGGGGAUAACACUGAGAAAUUGGUACUAAUACCCCAUAAUAUCUCAUGCGGCAUCGCAUGGGGUUGAAAACUCCGGUGGUUGAUGAUGGGCAUGCGUUGUAUUAGCUGGUUGGUGAGGUGACGGCUCACCAAGGCGACGAUACACAGGGGGACUGAGAGGUUAACCCCCCACAUUGGUACUGAGACACGGACCAAACUCCUACGGGAGGCAGCAG